rnacentral:rRNA from 1 species
AGCGAACGCUGGCGGCAGGCCUAACACAUGCAAGUCGAACGCCCCUUCGGGGGAGUGGCGGACGGGUGAGUAACGCGUGGGAAUGUGCCCUUUGGUACGGAACAACUGAGGGAAACUUCAGCUAAUACCGUAUGUGCCCUACGGGGGAAAGGUUUAUCGCCAUUGGAGCAGCCCGCGUUGGAUUAGGUAGUUGGUGGGGUAAUGGCCCACCAAGCCGACGAUCCAUAGCUGGUCUGAGAGGAUGAUCAGCCACACUGGGACUGAGACACGGCCCAGACUCCUACGGGAGGCAGCAGUGGGGAAUCUUGCGCAAUGGGCGAAAGCCUGACGCAGCCAUGCCGCGUGAAUGAUGAAGGUCGUAGGAUUGUAAAAUUCUUUCACCGGGGAAGAUAAUGACGGUACCCGGAGAAGAAGCCCCGGCUAACUUCGUG